rnacentral:rRNA from 1 species
AGUGAACGCUGGCGGUAUGCCUAACACAUGCAAGUCGAACGGCAGCACAGUAAGAGCUUGCUCUUACGGGUGUCGAGUGUCGGACGGGUGAGUAAUACAUCGGAAUCUACUUUUUCGUGGGGGAUAACGUAGGGAAACUUACGCUAAUACCGCAUACGACCUACGGGUGAAAGCAGGGGAUCUUCGGACCUUGCGCUAUUGAAUGAGCCGAUGUCGGAUUCGCUAGUUGGCGGGGUAAAGGCCCACCAAGGCGACGAUCCGUAGCUGGUCUGAGAGGAUGAUUAGAUAGAUGGUAACUGAGACACGGCAGAGACACCUACACGGAGACGCAGUGGGGACUACUGGACGAUGGGCGCAUGCGGAAUCCAGGCAUAUCGGGUGGGGGAAGAUCGAGUUCGGGUGGUAAAGCGCUUUAGUCGUGAAAGUAAAGCAGCAGUUUAAUACCCCGCUGUUAUGACGGUACCCAAAGAAUAAGCUCCGGCUAACUUCGUG